AAAUACCAUAGGGCUAACUGCAGUCGAACGAACUUCCGUUAAUUGAUUAUGACGUACUUGUACUGAUUGAGAUUUUAACACGAAGUGAGUGGCGAACGGGUGAGUAACACGUGGGUAACCUGCCCAGAAGUAGGGGAUAACACCUGGAAACAGAUGCUAAUACCGUAUAACAGAGAAAACCGCAUGGUUUUCUUUUAAAAGAUGGCUCUGCUAUCACUUCUGGAUGGACCCGCGGCGUAUUAGCUAGUUGGUGAGGUAAAGGCUCACCAAGGCAGUGAUACGUAGCCGACCUGAGAGGGUAAUCGGCCACAUUGGGACUGAGACACGGCCCAGACUCCUACGGGAGGCAGCAGUAGGGAAUCUUCCACAAUGGACGCAAGUCUGAUGGAGCAACGCCGCGUGAGUGAAGAAGGGUUUCGGCUCGUAAAGCUCUGUUGUUAAAGAAGAACGUGGGUAAGAGUAACUGUUUACCCAGUGACGGUAUUUAACCAGAAAGCCACGGCUAACUACGUGCCAGCAGCCGCGGUAAUACGUAGGUGGCAAGCGUUAUCCGGAUUUAUUGGGCGUAAAGCGAGCGCAGGCGGUCUUUUAAGUCUAAUGUGAAAGCCUUCGGCUCAACCGAAGAAGUGCAUUGGAAACUGGGAGACUUGAGUGCAGAAGAGGACAGUGGAACUCCAUGUGUAGCGGUGAAAUGCGUAGAUAUAUGGAAGAACACCAGUGGCGAAGGCGGCUGUCUGGUCUGCAACUGACGCUGAGGCUCGAAAGCAUGGGUAGCGAACAGGAUUAGAUACCCUGGUAGUCCAUGCCGUAAACGAUGAUUACUAAGUGUUGGAGGGUUUCCGCCCUUCAGUGCUGCAGCUAACGCAUUAAGUAAUCCGCCUGGGGAGUACGACCGCAAGGUUGAAACUCAAAAGAAUUGACGGGGGCCCGCACAAGCGGUGGAGCAUGUGUUUAAUUCGAAGCUACGCGAAGAACCUUACCAGGUCUUGACAUCUUCUGACAGUCUAAGAGAUUAGA
rnacentral:rRNA from 1 species